UCGGGAAUUUUGGGCAAUGGGCGAAAGCCUGACCCAGCAACGUCGCGUGAAGGAUGAAGUAUUUCGGUAUGUAAACUUCGAAAGAAUAGGAAGAAUAAAUGACGGUACUAUUUAUAAGGUCCGGCUAACUACGUGCCAGCAGCCGCGGUAAUACGUAGGGACCAAGCGUUGUUCGGAUUUACUGGGCGUAAAGGGCGCGUAGGCGGCAAUUCAAGUCAUCUGUGAAAUCUCCGGGCUUAACUCGGAACGGUCAGAUGAUACUGCUUUGCUAGAGUGCAGAAGGGGCAAUCGGAAUUCUUGGUGUAGCGGUGAAAUGCGUAGAUAUCAAGAGGAACACCUGAGGUGAAGACGGGUUGCUGGGCUGACACUGACGCUGAGGCGCGAAAGCCAGGGGAGCAAACGGGGAUU
rnacentral:rRNA from 1 species